AAUUUUGGAAAAUGGGGGAAACCCUGAUCCAGCCAUCCCGCGUGUGUGAUGAAGGCCUUCGGGUUGUAAAGCACUUUUGACAGGGAAGAAAUAGCAUGGGCUAAUAUCCUCUGUGAAUGACGGUACCUGUAGAACAAGCACCGGCUAACUACGUGCCAGCAGCCGCGGUAAUACGUAGGGUGCAAGCGUUAAUCGGAAUUACUUGGCGUAAAGAGUACGCAGGCGGCUAGGAAAGAAAGAUGUGAAAUCCCAGGGCUCAACCUUGGAACUGCAUUCUUAACUACCUAGCUAGAGUAUGUCAGAGGGGGGUAGAAUUCCACGUGUAGCAGUGAAAUGCGUAGAGAUGUGGAGGAAUACCGAUGGCGAAGGCAGCGCCCUGGGAUAAUACUGACGCACAGGUACGAAAGCGUGGGGGGCAAACAG
rnacentral:rRNA from 1 species